UACGUAGGUGGCAAGCGUUGUCCGGAAUUACUGGGCGUAAAGAGCGCGCAGGCGGCUGGUCAAGUCCGAUGUGAAAGCUCCCGGCUUAACUGGGAAAUUGCAUCGGAAACUGAUCGGCUUGAAGGUGGGAGAGGGUAGUGGAAUUCCCGGUGUAGCGGUGAAAUGCGUAGAGAUCGGGAGGAACAUCAGUGGCGAAGGCGGCCAUCUGGGACAACACUGACGCUGAAGCACGAAAGCGUGGGGAGCAAACAGG
rnacentral:rRNA from 1 species